UCAGCGUCUACCGUCUGCUGCCCGCAUUCGCCCGCCCGGCGUCCGAGCCCUUCAGCGGCGACGGGCGGAGCUGGAGCCCCGGGCCUGGGCGCCAGGGGGGCUCCUGGGAGGGUGAUGAAGCAGAUGAGGAAACUGAAGCUCCCAAGAGCCAGGUAACAGACACAAACACCCCUUGGCCACCUUUUUCCACCUGUUUUUCCGAGUGAGUGCCAUCGUCACCUACGUGUGCUGCGACUGGUUCAGCAAGAGCUUUGUGGGCUGUUUUGUCACGGUGCUGCUCCUCCUGUCCCUGGACUUCUGGUCUGUGAAGAAUGUAACCGGAAGACUCCUGGUGGGCCUUCGAUGGUGGAACCAGAUAGAUGAAGAUGGGAAGAGCCACUGGAUCUUUGAAGCCAGGAAGGUCUCUCCGAAUAGCAUUGCUGCCACAGAAGCUGAAGCACGAAUCUUCUGGCUGGGCCUCAUAAUCUGCCCCAUGAUAUGGAUUGUGUUUUUUUUUAGCACCUUAUUUUCCUUGAAGCUAAAGUGGCUGGCUCUGGUGGUUGCUGGGAUCUCUCUCCAAGCUGCAAACCUGUAUGGCUACAUCCUUUGUAAGAUGGGAGGCAACAGUGACAUUAGCAAGGUCACAGCCAGUUUCCUGUCCCAGACAGUGUUCCAGACGGCCUGCCCAGGUGACUUUCAGAAGCCUGGCCUCAAGGGGCUGGAGAUUCACCAGCAUUAGAUAUUUCCCCUGACAAACGUCCUGCCCACCAAUCCCAUCUUGGCAGAGCUGAACUGUGGCAGAGGUACAGGCUGGCAGGAAUGGAUGUGCCCUGGGCUGCUGCAAGCUCCUGUCCCCAGUCACAUCCAUUCAUGCAGCCCAACUGCCUCCAGGGGCCUCAGAGGGCAGCUCUCAUCACCACUUCCGGCCACUGCAAAAGCUGCCUGGGAAAGCAGAAACAGUUUGCAGAGCAGCCUUCCGAUCGUUUCCUCAACCAUGAGAUCAGGAUCUUGUUGGGCUCGCCUGGCGGCCCCACACGCCCUCACCUUGCAUUUAGGACAGAUGAAGCCACUCAUGUUCUCCACCACCCCGAUGAUGGGCAGCUUCACCUUGCGGCAGAAGUUGAUUUCUUUCCGGACAUCCUGGAGUGACACCUCCUACGAAGGUGAAAAGGCCAGUGAUUCCAGCAUCAAAGUGCGAGAAAGGGAAUCUCUGUGCAACCGAGGGGAUGGCUGCAAUGCAGUGGAUCUGCAAUCAUAAAGCCAUAGAGGUUUCUGCCCUGAUAGGGUUUGGCUCUGUGUCCACAUCCAAAUCUCAGCUCGAACUGUAAUCCUCAUCAUCCCUACAUCCCUACAGGAACAGGCACUUCCUGGUGGGCGGUGAUUGGAUCAUGGGGGCGGUUUCCCCCAUGCUGUUCUCGAUAGUGAGUUUUCACGAGAUCUGAUGGUUUUGUAAGUGUUUGACAGUUCCUCCUACACACUCUCUCUCUCACUGCUGCCACUGUGUAACAUGUGCCUGCUUUGCCUUCCACCAUGAUUGUAAGUUUCCUGGGGCCUUCCCAGCCAUGCAGAACUGUGAAUCAAUUAAACCUCUUUCCCUUA
rnacentral:sRNA from 1 species